rnacentral:rRNA from 1 species
UACGUAGGUGGCAAGCGUUGUCCGGAUUUAUUGGGUUUAAAGGGUGCGUAGGCGGCCCUGUAAGUCAGUGGUGAAAUAUCUCAGCUUAACUGAGAGGGUGCCAUUGAUACUGCGGGGCUUGAGUACAGAUGAGGUAGGCGGAAUUGACGGUGUAGCGGUGAAAUGCAUAGAUAUCGUCAAGAACACCGAUAGCGAAGGCAGCUUACCAGCUGUAACUGACGCUGAAGGCACGAAAGUGUGGGGAUCAAACAGGG